AUGGUCAGGGAGGGCUCAGGAGAAGGGAGAAGGGAGGAAGAAAGGGGGAGGAUGGUAUUUUAUAGAAUUUCAGAUAAAUUUUGGGAAACCCUUUAUUUCACCCUGACCUGUCGUGCUUUGUCUUGCCCCUUCACUCAUCUGGCUUUCUUUCUUCCUGCCCCUGCAAUCAGUCUGAAGAAGGGUCCCGACCCGAAACAUCACCUAUCCGUGUUCUCCUGGGAUGCUGCCCGGACCACUGAGUUACAAAAUCACUGUGUCUUUCCUUGGUAAACCAGCAUUUGCAGUUCCUUGUUUCUACACAGAGCACAGAAAGAGUUCUUUCAACCCGUCUGCUCUACUGGAAUCCACCUUCACAGGAGUUGUGCAAUUAUAUGCUCUUCCUUCAGUGCCUAGUGACUGUUUCCUCGUUAAGAAGGUAUUUCCAAUUCUCCUUGCAAUUUUAUUAUUGACCCUGCUUCCAAUGUCUUUUCAGGCAAUGCACUGGAGAUCAAAGAUCCUGUAGCAAGCAAGAUAAUCCACUCCUGCUAAAUGCAAUGUGCUGAAGUGUAGUAUGCAACGGAGCGGAACGUGGGCCAUUUAUUCGUCCAUUUCAGUAACCCGACCCGACUUUGUAUAUCUCUCUCGCAGUGUAAUCAGCGUUGCGGGGGAACAAUUUGCAUAUGUGAUAAAGCCUUAUCUCUGCCUCACAGCCAGCUGUUGUUGGCUACAUCGAAGGAGUGUUUAUGCUGUUUUUGUGUGUCAAGGGUUGGCUCAUGAAUUUAACAUGCAAGCACUAAAGUCUGACAGCCACUGACUCAUAUUUUAUACCUCAAAAGGAAAUCUCAUCCUAACAUCUAUGAAUUUUGAGCUUCGAGGAGCACUGUAUGUACAAGCCGGUGACAUUGCUGCAAGUAAGAAUACAUGAAAAUUAGGAGCAAGAUAGGCCACCGGGCCUCUUAACCCCUCCCUGUUAUUCAAUA